AAGUCCACGUUGACCAUGUUGUCGGUGCUGGGGGAGCGGAUGAAGGCCAGGGACCCACGGCGCUCUCCCUAUGGUCAGGAAGCAGCCCGCUGCAGUGGGGAGGAGAUGCCAAAACCACGAGAUCAGAUUUUGAGCCUCUGUCCAUCUGUCUGAGGCCACAGCCAGACUGCUGCCUGAACUGGGCAGAGGGAAAGCAAGGGAGCUCAGGGUCCUAGGACCUAACCUCAGCGCUCAUCCCCACCAGCACCGCAGUCACCAGGACUCUGUGACUCAGUUUACCCCACGUGACAGCCAGCUGGGAUUCCCAGGGCAUCAGAGGCCCAUCAGCCUCCUGUGAACUUCUGGGGUGGGCCUGGCCUUGGGACGCGGGUGCAGGGGCCUCUCCUCAUUGCCCCCGUGGCGCCCAUAGCCAGUGCCCGAGCCUGCUGCACCCUGACCCGACAGAGGGAGCAAGCGGCUC